CGCAGCCGCGGUAAUUCCAGCUCCAAUAGCGUAUAUUAAAGUUGUUGCAGUUAAAAGCUCGUAGUUGAAUUUCGGGGUUAGUAGGCUGGUCGUGCCUAUGGUAUGUACUGGCUUUACUGAUUCCUCCUUCUUGAAGAACCGUAAUGCCAUUAAUUUGGUGUUGCGGGAAAACAGGACUGUUACUUUGAAAAAUUAGAGUGUUUAAAGCAGGCUAACGCCUGAAUACAUUAGCAUGGAAUAAUGAAAUAGGACGAGCGAUCCUAUUUUGUUGGUUUCUAGGAUUGACGUAAUGAUUAAUAGGGAUAGUUGGGGGCAUUAGUAUUCAAUUGUCAGAGGUGAAAUUCUUGGAUUUAUUGAAGACUAACUACUGCGAAAGCAUUUGCCAAGGAUGUUUUCAUUAAUCAAGAACGAAAGUUAGGGGAUCGAAGACGAUCAGAUACCGUCGUAGUCUUAACCAUAAACUAUGCCGACUAGGGAUCGGAUGAUGUUAAUUUUAUAAUGACUCAUUCGGCGCCUUACG
rnacentral:rRNA from 1 species